GGGGAGAUACUCAAGCGGCCAACGAGGACAGACUGUAAAUCUGUUGGCAUUUGCCUUCGCAGGUUCGAAUCCUGCUCUCCCCA
rnacentral:tRNA from 1 species